UACGUAGGGUGCAAGCGUUGUCCGGAAUUAUUGGGCGUAAAGAGCGUGUAGGCGGCUCGGUAAGUCCGCUGUGAAAGUCCAGGGCUCAACCCUGGAAUGCCGGUGGAAACUGUCGAGCUAGAGUCCGGAAGAGGCGAGUGGAAUUCCUGGUGUAGCGGUAAAAUGCGCAGAUAUCAGGAGGAAUACCAAUGGCGAAGGCAGCUCGCUGGGACGGUACUGACGCUGAGACGCGAAAGCGUGGGGAGCAAACAGG
rnacentral:rRNA from 1 species